CCACUCUGUUGCCCAGGCUGGUCUCAGACUCCUGAGCUCAGGCAUUCCUCUCACUUCGGCCUCCUGAAGUGCCACAGGUGUGAGCAGCCAUGCCCAGCUAUGGCCUCGGUGUCUUCAUCUGAAAAAGAAGAUGGCGACACCCACUUUGUGGUGCUGUUGUCAGGCUCUAAUAAGGUGCUAUGAUGAAUUGCUGUCCUCACUCAACCAACCCAGGACCACCAGGAACAAAGCCUACUCUGACAAAGCCUACAAAGUGAUGUUCAUUGACACAUUGCAAAGACCACACACCAGCAGAACCAUAGGGUAUCUCCCCAAACAAAGGAAAAGAAAAGAAUUACAGUAUGGGGCAUGGGGAAGAGUGGAAUUUAAGCGAAAUGUAUUUUGACAGACUCAAAGCAAGAUAGGUCUAAAUGUAAAGGUAUCAUCCUAAGUUCUGGACUAUGAAGCAGUUUGCUGGGAACAAAUGGAACAAAUGGAACACUAUGAAGUGUUUGCUGGGAAGCAAUAAGACUAUUAUCCAUAGCUGUGGGCUACUGUGUCCAGAAACCCCUCCUCCAAAGCUCUCUCCCUAGGGUUUAAAUCAAGGCUGCUUCUCUCUCAGUGACUUAGAUCCUCCAGGCAAGGGUGAGAUAUUUCACUCUAACAUCAUUUCAAACAGCGAUGUUUCUGAUAGUCUAGGAUUCUAGAGAAGAAAGGUUUCUCAGUGAGUCAGAAGACACUACUCACUCCAAGAAGGGGGUUUUUGUGACCCUUUACCACUACAGCAUGCCCCUUGCGAGAAAUAUUAUUUAUUGUUCACUUUGAA